rnacentral:rRNA from 1 species
UACGAAGGGGGCUAGCGUUGCUCGGAAUGAUCUGGGCGUAAAGGGCGCGUAGGCGGCUCAUACAGUCAGAUGUGAAAAUUCCUGGGCUUAACCUGGGGGCUGCAUUUGAUACGUGUGGGCUUGAGUGGGGAAGAGGGUCGUGGAAUUCCCAGUGUAGAGGUGAAAUUCGUAGAGAUCGGGAAGAACAUCGGUGGCGAAAGCGCUCUGCUGGACUGCAACUGACACUCAGGGACGAAAGCUAGGGGAGCGAAUGGG